ACAUCAUAGAUUUUGGGUCAUUUUCACUUGGUUUUUUCUCAUAAAAUAUAACUUGCAUCGUUUCAAUAUUUUUGGAUAUGAAAGUAAAUAUAUUCAAUUAUAUUUGUGGAAGAUGAAAACACGAUUGGAACAAAAAUCCUCGAUCAAAAAAAUUCAGGAACACAAGUCUAGAUUUCGAUUAUUUAUCUCAAACUAUAAGGAUUUAAAAUUUGAAUUUUGUACCAAAUUGAAGAUCAUUAAAAAAUAAUAACUUCUGGAAGAUGAAAUUUCGAUUGGAUGUUUUGUUUAGACGUAAUUAAACUAAAUAGAUGAAAACAGGAAUUAAAAUUGUUGCGACAAUAGUACUGGACAGUAGAGUGUUGACACUUUAUCUCUGUCUCAUUCCUACACGACCGGGUGGGAUAAAGCGCUAUCCUUUGUAAGCGUGCCUUCACUCCGCGGAUCACAUUCUCCGACGCAGGACCUGUGCCAAUCGCUCCGAGCGUCGUUGAAAAAUAUUCUGCGAAGUAUUUAAUUUCCCACAUUCAUUUUGUUUGAAUUUAUUUCUGUACAUAAUUGUCAGCUCAGCUUAUUGAAUUGUGUCGUUGAUCUCUGAAUCUUACGCGUCGCUUUUCCGCCGGACGGGGUGAUAUUACGUAGGUAUUUAGGAUCGUGGAUUUUGAUACUUUUUUUUUUUUGGUACUUUCUGAAAUAUACCUAUUAUAGAUAGUUUAGGUUAGUUUUUAAUACAGUUUUUUUGUUUCGUUUAGUGUAAAUAGGUGUAUAAUUUUACGUCAUGAUAGCAUGUUAAAUGUUAGCAUGUUAAAAAAAAACCUUGAAAGAGCUUCCCAUAUGGGACAAUUAAGAUGGUGGGUACUAAUUACACUUACUAAUAGAUAGACAUAUAGAUGCCUACUGAGAUUUUCUCCGCAAACACUGAAGGUGAAAAAUAUUUCAUUUGAUACCGGCUUGUGGCGGGGCGGCAGUAGGUAGAUAGAUAGAUAAAAUAACAACAAACAACAGCCGCCGUCGGUUAUACUGUCACUAGUUGUUGCCCUGGUCUUUGCCUACGGAAACAGUACUUACUCCUAGGUAACUGUAUUAUUCAGGGUAUCUCCUCAGCUGCAAGACGUCGCAGGGUUUAUUUUUCUUCGCUUUCUUCAUUUGGCACGAUCACAGUCAUUAUCCCAUUAUUUGAUUGUUAUUAAUUUUUAGGAAAAAUAAAUUGUCUCCGAUAUCGUCGUUGACAAUGUCCGAACAGAGAAGUGCGGAUGGUGUGGAGUCGACAGUUGAUAUUAUGGACUUAGAUAGUCAUGGCAUUAUUCCGACGCCGACAUCAACGACAACCCAAGAUAGAAAACCAUAUAUAGAAAACCAUAG